rnacentral:rRNA from 1 species
GUUGACCUCGGAUCAGGUAGGAAUACCCGCUGAACUUAAGCAUAUCGAUA